GUACUGUGCAAACGUUAUUCGGAAUCACUGGGCUUAAAGGGUGCGUAGGCGGCUGACUAAGUAGGGUGUGAAAUCCCCCGGCUCAACCGGGGAACUGCGCUCUAAACUGGUCGGCUUGAGUGAGAUAGGGGUGUGCGGAACUUCCAGUGGAGCGGUGAAAUGUGUUGAUAUUGGAAGGAACGCCAGUAGCGAAAGCGGCACACUGGGUCUCAACUGACGCUGAGGCACGAAAGCCAGGGUAGCGAACGGGGAUUAGAUACCCCGGUAGUCCUGGCCUUAAACGAUGAGCACUAGUUGGGAGGGGCUUCGGCCUUUCCAAACAAAGCGAAAGCAUCAAGUGCUCCGCCUGGGGAGUAUGGUCGCAAGGCUG
rnacentral:rRNA from 1 species